rnacentral:rRNA from 1 species
GACGAACGCUGGCGGCGUGCUUAACACAUGCAAGUCGAGCGGUAAGGCCCUUUUGGGGGUACACGAGCGGCGAACGGGUGAGUAACACGUGGGUGACCUGCCCUCAGCUCUGGGAUAAGCCUGGGAAACUGGGUCUAAUACUGGAUAUGACCUUUCCUCGCAUGGGGUUGGGUGGAAAGUUUUUCGGCUGGGGAUGGGCCCGCGGCCUAUCAGCUUGUUGGUGGGGUGAUGGCCUACCAAGGCGACGACGGGUAGCCGGCCUGAGAGGGCGACCGGCCACACUGGGACUGAGACACGGCCCAGACUCCUACGGGAGGCAGCAGUGGGGAAUAUUGCGCAAUGGGCGGAAGCCUGACGCAGCGACGCCGCGUGGGGGAUGACGGCCUCGGUUGUAA